rnacentral:rRNA from 1 species
UACGUAGGUGGCUAGCGUUGUCCGGAUUUACUGGGCGUAAAGAGCGCGCAGGCGGUCGUUCAAGUCGAGUGUGAAAGCCCCCGGCUCAACUGGGGAGGGUCACUCGAUACUGAUCGACUUGAAGGCGGGAGAGGGAAGCGGAAUUCCCGGUGUAGUGGUGAAAUGCGUAGAUAUCGGGAGGAACACCAGUGGCGAAGGCGACUUCCUGGCCUGUUCUUGACGCUGAGGCGCGAAAGCUAGGGUAGCAAACGGG